rnacentral:rRNA from 1 species
GUGAGGAAUAAUGCGCAAUGGAGGCAACUCUGACGCAGCCAUGCCGCGUGCAGGAAGAAGGCGCUACGCGUUGUAAACUGCUUUUAACCGGGAAGAAACCCCAGGACGUGUCCUGGGUUGACGGUACCGGAGGAAUAAGCACCGGCUAACUUCGUGCCAGCAGCCGCGGUAAUACGAAGGGUGCAAGCGUUAUCCGGAUUCAUUGGGUUUAAAGGGUGCGUAGGCGGAGCGUUAAGUCAGUGGUGAAAUCCUGCAGCUUAACUGUAGACUUGCCAUUGAUACUGGCGCUCUUGAGUGCGCUUGAAGUGGGCGGAAUGUGCCGUGUAGCGGUGAAAUGCUUAGAUAUGGCACAGAACACCAAUUGCGAAGGCAGCUCACUAAGGCGAUACUGACGCUGAGGCACGAAAGCGUGGGGAUCGAACAGGAUUAGAAACCCGGGUAGUCC